CUCCCUCGGAGACCUUAGCUACACCCCGAAUCCGUUACUCCGGGUUUUCGCAGUGGCUGGGUGGCCUACCCCGAUCGAAACCAUGAACUGAAUGUGCCAAGUUUCUUGUCCAAGUCCAUACGAUUAAUACCAGAACUCCACCGAGAUGGCCUGGCUCCAGGGCCCAGACUUAAUCACUAUUCAACAGCUAUGUUAACCUUGUUGAUGCCAACCACUGCUACUCAAAUACAAACGUGUUGAUUUUUAUUUUAGACACUUGAAGACAGGCACUUUCUGUUAUGAGUUAAUGUUUCAAAGAUAUCCAUCAAAUAUG